rnacentral:rRNA from 1 species
CUACGGGCGGCUGCAGUGGGGAAUAUUGCACAAUGGGCGCAAGCCUGAUGCAGCCAUGCCGCGUGUGUGAAGAAGGCCUUCGGGUUGUAAAGCACUUUCAGCGGGGAGGAAGGCGUUAAGGUUAAUAACCUUGUCGAUUGACGUUACCCGCAGAAGAAGCACCGGCUAACUCCGUGCCAGCAGCCGCGGUAAUACGGAGGGUGCAAGCGUUAAUCGGAAUUACUGGGCGUAAAGCGCACGCAGGCGGGCUGUCAAGUCGGAUGUGAAAUCCCCGGGCUCAACCUGGGAACUGCAUUCGAAACUGGCAGGCUAGAGUCUUGUAGAGGGGGGUAGAAUUCCAGGUGUAGCGGUGAAAUGCGUAGAGAUCUGGAGGAAUACCGGUGGCGAAGGCGGCCCCCUGGACAAAGACUGACGCUCAGGUGCGAAAGCGUGGGGAGCAAACAGGAUUAGAUACCCGAGUAGUC